rnacentral:rRNA from 1 species
AUGCACCCGAGGCUUGUAUAUUUGGCAAUGGAGAUAGCAGAAUUGCUGAAUGGUAAUCUCAUUGAAGCAAAUGUUGCUGCUUGUGUACUGAGAGCCAAUUUUGACAUCAAAUUCUGGUGCAAGGUUCUGGCAUUCCGAAGAGCCUACUUACAAAAUCAGCUCUGCAAGUUUGGCGAGCAUCCGUGUGAACCUGUCAAGGAGAAUAGACCUAUGUAUCUUCAACGAUUGGGUAAAACUACUGAAGAUAUUCUGGUUCAUGGUAUUAAUCAGACAUGCUGUUCUGAAGAGGAACUUCCCAACAUAACGAAUGUGGAUGUUUGGUAUGGAAAUACUAGGCCCCAAGGUAUAUUUAAGGCUCUUUCAUGGAAGUCUCGGAUACCACCCUACCAUAGCUACAUCCAGACGUGUGAGAUUCGAGAGCUGCAAGCUAGAGCGGUUAAGAGAAGCGCCCUCUGA